UNAUUCGACGCAACGCGCAGAACCUUACCAACCCUUGACAUACUUGUCGCGGAUUCCAGAGAUGGAUUCCUUCAGUUCGGCUGGACAAUGUACAGGUGCUGCAUGGCUGUCGUCAGCUCGUGUCGUGAGAUGUUCGGUUAAGUCCGGCAACGAGCGCAACCCACGUCCUUAGUUACCAGCAUUUAGUUGGGUACCCUAAGGAGACUGCCGGUGAUAAGCCGGAGGAAGGUGUGGACGACGUCAAGUCAUCAUGGCCCUUACGGGUUGGGCUACACACGUGCUACAAUGGCACCUACAGUGAGUUAAUCUCCAAAAGAUGUCUCAGUUCGGAUUGGGGUCUGCAACUCGACCCCAUGAAGUUGGAAUCGCUAGUAAUCGCGGAACAGCAUGCCGCGGUGAAUACGUUCCCGGGCCUUGUACACACCGCCCGUCACACCAUGGGAAUUGGGUCUACCCGAANGUGGUGCGCCAACUAUU
rnacentral:rRNA from 1 species